GGCACGAUGGCCGAGUUGGUUAUGGCGCUAGGUUAAGGUCACCUUAAUAUCUGUGCCCCACAGUCUCCUAGUUCGGAAACGUACCUGGGUUCAAAUCCCAGUCGUGUCA